GACGAACGCUGGCGGCGUGCCUAAUACAUGCAAGUCGAGCGAGACUCUUCGGAGUCUAGCGGCGGACGGGUGAGUAACACGUGGGCAACCUGCCUGUAAGACUGGGAUAACACCGGGAAACCGGUGCUAAUACCGGAUAAUCCUUUUCCUCUCAUGAGGAGAAGCUGAAAGACGGUUUCGGCUGUCACUUACAGAUGGGCCCGCGGCGCAUUAGCUAGUUGGUGAGGUAACAGCUCACCAAGGCGACGAUGCGUAGCCGACCUGAGAGGGUGAUCGGCCAAACUGGGACUGAGACACGGCCCAGACUCCUACGGGAGGCAGCAGUAGGGAAUCUUCCACAAUGGACGAAAGUCUGAUGGAGCAACGCCGCGUGAGCGAUGAAGGCCUUCGGGUCGUAAAGCUCUGUUGUUAGGGAAGAACAAGUACCGGAGUAACUGCCGGUACCUUGACGGUACCUAACCAGAAAGCCACGGCUAACUACGUGCCAGCAGCCGCAGUAACAC
rnacentral:rRNA from 1 species